ACGCUACCAAACAUUGGUUCUCUAACUAUAAAGAUGACGAAGAAAGGGAGAAACUUGCAAGGGAAAUUUCAAAGGAUUGGAGUUCUGUGUUUGAACGUAGCAUCAACACACUUUUUCUCACUGAACUAGUUCGAGGUCUAAUGCUGACUCUGAAAUACUUCUUUGAACAAAAAGUUACUAUCAAUUAUCCAUUUGAGAAAGGCCCUUUGAGCCCUCGUUUCCGCGGUGAACAUGCACUCCGACGGUAUCCAACAGGAGAGGAACGUUGCAUUGCUUGCAAACUUUGUGAAGCUAUAUGUCCUGCUCG